AGCCAAUAUCUCUCCUUUUCAUUAUUUGAUUGAUUUCAAAAUAAAAUUAUACAUAGAAAAACAAGUCUACUAUCUCUACUUACAAAUUUCACUCCAAUCCAACUAAUAGAUUGCAAGAAAUCUUAAAAAUCCUUACUAAACCUAAAAUUCUAUUUUUUAAAACCUUGACCUACUUAAAUCUCAAUAAUCUUUAAUUCAACCAUUAGAUCAAGC
rnacentral:lncRNA from 1 species